AUACGGAGGAUGCGAGCGUUAUCCGGAUUCAUUGGGUUUAAAGGGUGCGUAGGUUGCCGAUUAAGUCAGCGGUGAAAGUCAGUGGCUCAACCAUUGAACUGCCGUUGAAACUGGUUGGCUUGAGUACGUACGGGGCAGGCGGAAUGCGUGGUGUAGCGGUGAAAUGCAUAGAUAUCACGCAGAACUCCGAUUGCGAAGGCAGCUUACUAAGCUACAACUGACACUGAAGCACGAAAGCGUGGGGAUC
rnacentral:rRNA from 1 species